rnacentral:lncRNA from 1 species
GAAGAUGCAAGAGUCCUCCUUUUUGUAUGCCCCUCUCAUUCUGUGACACUUCGUUUAAAGUCAUCUCUUCAAUCAAGGCAUACGCCUCAUCUUCCAUUUUUCUAUUGAUACUGCCUCCAGCUGAGGCAUCUAACAUCAUCUUGGAAUGAGCACGUAAACCUCCAAGGAACGCAAGCAAAUAUGAAGUCUUAUCGAACCCAUGAACUGGGGUCGCCCUCAAUAAACC